GCCAUCAUUUAAAGAAAGCGUAAUAGCUCACUGGUCGAGUCGGCCUGCGCGGAAGAUGUAACGGGGCUAAACCAUGCACCGAAGCUGCGGCAGCGACACUAUGUGUUGUUGGGUAGGGGAGCGUUCUGUAAGCCUGCGAAGGUGGCCUGUGAGGGUUGCUGGAGGUAUCAGAAGUGCGAAUGCUGACAUAAGUAACGAUAAAGCGGGUGAAAAGCCCGCUCGCCGGAAGACCAAGGGUUCCUGUCCAACGUUAAUCGGGGCAGGGUGAGUCGACCCCUAAGGCGAGGCC
rnacentral:rRNA from 1 species